CACAGUACUCAGCUCAGACUGUGCUCAGUUCUAACUCCCACCUCAAAGGAAGCCAGGAAAGACACAUAACACACAGCAAAGGAUCAGUCAUGUGGACCACCUUUAUACAAUGACCAGUUAAACACAUGAGGAUUCUUCACCCUGGAACAAAGAUCAUGCAGCUCCACGCUGCUCCAGACUUCAUGGACACAGCGAACAGGGUUGUGCAGGGCUGUUCUCCACCUCCUUCAGUACAAGGACUGCAGAAAAGUAAGUGAAACCCGUAUACUGGAGGCCCCAGGGAACCGGUUCUUCACACAAGAAGCAAUUAGGCUGCAAAACUCCUCCUGGGCACUUUUGAUGCAAGACUUCGAGAUACAAAAAAGCACCUGGAGCUAUUGCAGACUGAAUCACAGCCCGUGGAAGCUGUGACGAGCACUACAACAAGACACCAACAGGUAUUUUCCUGUGCUUGCACUCUUCCUCCUUGGCACUCUACCACCCGCAGGGUGAAAGACAAAACACAUUUGUUGCUUGGGCUUAGAACAAGACAUUCAGUUUAUCACAGGUUGUCGCAAAAAUUUUCUUCAGCCUUUUAAACUAAUUCUCAGUAUACAUGUUUCCAUAAUAAUUCUAUGCUAAGAGACCAGUUUGAGGUUCAGAAGCCAGGAAGGGACAAGACGCAAACAUGAUCAUCUGAAGUUCUGUGCUCAAGAUGAUUGAAGCCAAGUAGUACACAAAAAUUCUGCAAACUCACUGAGUUCAGCACAGCGUAUUAGCCACACAAAUACAAACACCAUCAUUCGCAAUGUGCCUAACUUAGAUAGCAGGCACAUUUGGGAAGCCCAAAUAUUUUACUGAAGGGCUUUAUUAAGAGCCAGAUCCACCCACUUUAUACUUCCUACACCCUGGCACCCCACCAAAAGAAUUAGGUGUUUUACAGCACUGCAUAGAUUACCACAAGCUUGCCAGAAUUCAUUGCUUAACACACUCUGUUAUUCUAUCAUUAAGACAUCACAGUUUGGGAAAGUACUCUGUAAACCAGCCUAGUUGUUUACUCCAUUCUUAAUCUCAUUUUACAAGACCUAGCCUUGCCAGAUCCCAACAGGACAACUAGUAAUGCUAAGCCAAAAGCACCAUGUGUAAUACAGCAAAGGAAAAAAGCCAAAUAAGUAUUAAAAAAUUCCUAUUUCCCCUCCCACAUACACAGACUUUUGGGAUACAGGGUAUUGGUCAGUUCUACAAUUUUGGUUAUUAGAGGACCACUAGUGAAACGCAACAUACAAAGCCGCACCAUAAAACUUGCCAGUUCCUAUUUUCAAUGGGCCAGUGAGAAUUUAGCAGCCUUUCAGCGCCGGCAGAUCGCCUCUGCCUGCUGGCAGGCUCUCCCCCAGGCCCGCUGCCCGUCCUGGCCAGAGGGCUGAUGCCGCUGUUCCCUGCGAGAAGCAAAACAAUAACGGGAUGCUCAGAGUGGCAACCGCACAACCCAGCGCUCGCUCUGCUACUUCAUCGAUCGGGCGCCUGACCAGCCGAGGAUUCAGGAUAACGCACGGAAAGGAAAAUUCUCGACAAAGAGGAGACUCGGGAGCAGUUUAUUUACAGGCUACCACAGCCGGACCGAAAAGCAUUACUCUUUGGGGAGCGCGGCUCGCCUGGCCGCUCUCACCAGCUCCCCUCGCCGCUCCCAGAGCCAUGCUUGCCCAUGAACCAGUGUCAUGGUCCCCUCACCCCCCACCGAAGCAAUGCCGCUUUUAGGCGGGGGAACACCACAAACGCCUGGAGCGCCGGGGAGGCCGCGGGGUCGGGUCGGGACAGCCCGGCUGCUGCACACAGCGCUAGCGACGCCGGCGGAGAGGCCCGCCCCGCUCGGCUCAGGAGGCCCCAGCGGUGAAGGCGCCUCCGCCGGAACGACCAACGCGGAACCCCGCUCCGGGCCCGUCCCCCGCCACCGCCGCCGCGGCCUCGGCGCUGGCUGAGGGACAGCCCCCACCGCGACGGGGAGGGGAAACGAAAAACGGGGAGGGGACACCGCCCGCCCCGCCGCUCCCCCCGCCCGCCCCGGCGCCCCCGGAGGCGGGCGGUCGCCGCCUGCUCGCCCGUACCGAGGCGGCGCUCCCCUCCCUAGGCCUGAGGCCGCCGGCAGGCGGGCCGGGCCGGUACCUGCGCUGGAAGUCCGUCUCGAAGGGGGCCAGUAAGGCACAUCGCAUUGAUAUCCUGAAGGAAUUUAAAGUUACACAGAAGAAAAUUGAGCCCCAUGCCAAUGGAUGAGAUAGCCUUUCUGGUUUCUCUGUGAUCUCAUUGCAUGUUGGUCAAGGGACCAGACUGGGAUACGCAAUACAAGUGUCAUCAAAAUAUUUCCCUGUUUUUGUGAGGAGUUGCACAAGAAGUUAUGCCUUUUCUGUAAAAUAAAGCAUGGGUACUCAUAACUGUAAAAAAAACCCAACACUGCCAACAACAGAAUAAUAACUGUUUUCUUGUUUUUCUAAUUUCCUUUCUGUAGAACGAAGUAUAGAUAUUUGUAUUUAAAAAAAAAAGCCGACAAGUCUACUGUUUUUCUUAAAUCUAGAAAUACUUUUCAAGUUGAACUUAGAACAUUAGCCAUGUGUCUUGCCCUAGUUUUUCAACUUCAGAAUAAACUGAAGUUUAGCAUUUCGCCUUUUAGCAUUUGUCUUGCUUGUUCACAUGAUUUCAUUUGUAUGUUGGGGACUAAUUUCUCAUAAACUUCAAGACCUCUUUUGACACUGACAAAAUAAUGGGGAACCGAGGUGGGUUCUAUUGUAUUUCUGUAGUUAAUUACAUUAAUUUUGUAACCCAUUCAACACCCAGGAACAUGAAAACAAGUCUUUUCAUAGAUUUGAAUCAGGUACAUUGUUUCUUUCAGGUUAAUGUAUUUUACACACUGCUUUGAGUGCAAGGUUGCAUGUUUAUCUGAAAGAGGAUUGAUGAGGUUUAUUCUCUUAAUUCUUUUUUAAAAGUCCUUUGCAUUGUAUAUUUGUAUUAGUAAAAAGUAUAAAAUCUUCUCUGAUACCUUUCCAUUACGGUAGAGAAGAUUCAGCAAAGCUUUUGAUUUCUUUUGUCUUACAUUGUAAACCCAGAUAAGAAAAAAAAUGUCUUCCAAGAGCAUGGUCUCUGUGUGUAAAUACAAGAUUGUCAUUCGUAGUUAGAGCUAAUAUGCAGAGGUUAUAGCUGUGUGAGCUAUUUAAAAAUCAAAACCAGCACAGUCAGAAUGUAGUCAUGUUUGGAGGAUCAGUACAUAAAAGUUAUCCCUUAAGAACAUACCCUUCUAAAGGGUAACCAAAUAUAAUUAUUUCAUGUGAUGCUAUCCAAUUGAGAUGACUUGGAAUUCCCCCUCUUGUAACACUUGGAAUUCCCCCUCUUGUAACACUUUUGAUCUGUUAAGUUUGACAGGGUGAGGUUAAAUCUCCUCCUCCUAUCACGGGUUAGGAAAUACUUCUGGUGCUAAGAAUAGCUUGUUAAAGGUGGAUGGAAAAUCUCCUUUUCCAGUGUACAUAUUAAUUACCAUAACACUCGGUGAAUUCAUCUUUGCUGGCAGAAUGACAUACCUCACUGCUGUAUCAAUGAAAACUGAGUUUCUUGUUGAUUAAAAUUUGCUUGCCUCAAAUAACUAGGUCUAAUGAAUUAGAAACACAGAAAACAAAGCAAGAUUUUGUAAAAACAUACAGCUGUGUUCUAAGCAGAACAGCAUCUAUUUCUUUUUAGAGAGAAUUUGAAGUGAACACAGGAAUUCUGAGUCAGUAAGCUUAGAUGAUCUGAUCCACUGUUGUUCUGUACCUCAUAUGAUCCUCUGCUGAAUUACUGGCAGAAAACACUUUAGUAAGAAAAUUUACCAAUGUGCUUGAACCUUAGAACUUGAGGUGAGCAGUGCCAAGGACAUCUGUGGCCUAGAGGCAGAGGCAAGAAUCUCCUUUCCUCCUAAAAUACACAUGCAAAACUCUUGGUAAGGAAGAAGGGAAUACGUACAUCACCAGAUCUAUGUAACUUUGUUUCCACAGAGGCACUCUUACCCUUUCCCAUAUUCUCUGCUCCGGCACAAAGAGAAUCACUGUGUAAGCACAGUUUAAGAUGUAUGCUACAAUAAUUUUUGACCCACCUCCCAGAGUUCAGUGCACUGUGAGUAAAAUAUAUCCCUAAGAACUUAGUAAUAUAUGCAUCCUUACGUGACUUUCCUUUCAGCUGCUGAAAUAAGAUACUCAUAUUCUCUAAAGUGUAUGUAGAUGGAUGUCUAGACUUUACGAACUGCCAAAUGUGUGACUUGGAGAUAACUGUCAGAAUUGCAAGGCAAACAAGAAGCUGCUGAUCACUGGAUAGUGACAGUGCUUGUCUAAAAAUCCCAUUAAGGAUCCACUGUUCCUAAUAAGAAGUGCAAUCCAUCUGUAGAAUUUUUCCAAUAGAACGGGCAUCUCCAGGUCAUCAUCACCAUAAAGUGAUGAAGUAUAGAAGAACUUGGCCAAUUUUCCAAGAAAAACCUAACCAAAAAUAUGAUGUAAUUAUUUAAAUCGUUAACUGUGACCCACUCUGGUAUUGAAGGGAAAUACAAAGCAUUAAUUUGUUUAGAAACAUUUUCCUCAGUUAUUUAAAAUCUUUUCUAUGAAUUUUAAA